rnacentral:rRNA from 1 species
CAGGAUGAACGCUGGCGGCGUGCCUAAUACAUGCAAGUCGAGCGAACAGAUAAGGAGCUUGCUCCUUUGACGUUAGCGGCGGACGGGUGAGUAACACGUGGGUAACCUACCUAUAAGACUGGAAUAACUCCGGGAAACCGGGGCUAAUGCCGGAUAAUAUUUAGAACCGCAUGGUUCUAAAGUGAAAGAUGGUUUUACUAUCACUUAUAGAUGGACCCGCGCCGUAUUAGCUAGUUGGUGGGGUAAUGGCUUACCAAGGCAACGAUACGUAGCCGACCUGAGAGGGUGAUCGGCCACACUGGAACUGAGACACGGUCCAGACUCCUACGGGAGGCAGCAGUAGGGAAUCUUCCGCAAUGGGCGAAAGCCUGACGGAGCAACGCCGCGUGAGUGAUGAAGGUCUUCGGAUCGUAAAACUCUGUUAUUAGGGAAGAACAAAUGUGUAAGUAACUGUGCACGUCUUGACGGUACCUAAUCAGAAAGCCACGGCUAACUACGUGCCAGCAGCCGCGGUAAUACGUAG